CGGCGGACGGGUGAGUAACGCGUGGGUAACCUGCCUCAUACAGGGGGAUAACAGUUGGAAACGGCUGCUAAUACCGCAUAAGCGCACAGUACCGCAUGGUACCGUGUGAAAAACUCCGGUGGUAUGAGAUGGACCCGCGUCUGAUUAGGUAGUUGGUGGGGUAACGGCCUACCAAGCCGACGAUCAGUAGCCGACCUGAGAGGGUGACCGGCCACAUUGGGACUGAGACAUGGCCCAA
rnacentral:rRNA from 1 species